CCCCCCGGGUCGGGACACCUGGCGCCCGAACAGGGACUGGACAAAUCAGCAUCGCAAUGUAUGUAUUUCUAUCUUUGAAAAGGCCAAGAAAACAAAGUAUAGUCCCAUGUGGUAAAUACACAAUAAACAGUAGAGGCUUCCCUGUUCCCUGAGACAUGAAGUACUGAAAUUAGGCCGAUUAACCCUACAAUGGCUUCUAAAUGUUCAAAUGAAAGUCUGGAUAGAAGAUGAAGACAGCCACCACAUUCCCUGAAACCAAAACCAGAUCCAGAGCAAGGCCCUACCCUUCUUUAAUUCUGUGAAGAUGAAGUUUGAAGCUAACAGAGAUGGGGGUUCAUGAGGCUUACCAGCAAGAGGCCAACUACAUAGUAAAAGUGCAAGACCCUUUUGCUCAGAAGGCCUUUUCCUUCCCUCCCUCCUCUCCUGACUGAAGUCCAGUGUCAGCUCUUCCAGGAAACCUCUCCUGAACAUGGAUGUUGAAACGGAACUUCACACACCUGUUCUCGGAACCGCCCCUCGGCCAGCACUUCUCCCGUCCUUUACCUGCUGCUGCGUGCUGUGACUUCCUCCUUCCUAGGG